GAUUACUGUCUCAGCAUCAAGGUAGGUGGAUCCAGAGGAACAUCACUUAAGGUUGACCUCUGGCUCACACACACACACACACACUCACCUGGACACACAUAUGCACCCACACAUACACAGUCACCUAGACCACAUAUAUACUUACACAUACACAGACACAGUCACCUGGACACACAUAUGCACUUACACACACACACAUACAUAGUCACCUGGAUACACAUAUGUACUUACACACACACAUACACACACACAGUCACCAGGACCACAUAUGCACUUACACACACACAUACAUAGUCACCUGGAUACACAUAUAUACUCACACAUAUACACACACACAGUCACCAGGACCACAUAUGCACUUAAACACACACAGUCAUCUGGAUGCACAAUGGACUUGCACACACAUACACACACAGUUGCCUGGAUGCCUAUAUUCACUUACACACAUACAUACACACACACACACACACACACACACACA
rnacentral:lncRNA from 1 species